rnacentral:rRNA from 1 species
AGAGUUUGAUCCUGGCUCAGAACGAACGCUGGCGGCGUGGAUAAGACAUGCAAGUCGAACGAGAGAAUUGCUAGCUUGCUAAUAAUUCUCUAGUGGCGCACGGGUGAGUAACACGUGAGUAACCUGCCCCCGAGAGCGGGAUAGCCCUGGGAAACUGGGAUUAAUACCGCAUAGUAUCGAAAGAUUAAAGCAGCAAUGCGCUUGGGGAUGGGCUCGCGGCCUAUUAGUUAGUUGGUGAGGUAACGGCUCACCAAGGCGAUGACGGGUAGCCGGUCUGAGAGGAUGUCCGGCCACACUGGAACUGAGACACGGUCCAGACACCUACGGGUGGCAGCAGUCGAGAAUCAUUCACAAUGGGGGAAACCCUGAUGGUGUGACGCCGCGUGGGGGAAUGAAGGUCUUCGGAUUGUAAACCCCUGUCAUGUGGGAGCAAAUUAAAAAGAUAGUACCACAAGAGGAAGAGACGGCUAACUCUGUGCCAGCAGCCGCGGUAAUACAGAGGUCUCAAGCGUUGUUCGGAAUCACUGGGCGUAAAGCGUGCGUAGGCUGUUUCGUAAGUCGUGUGUGAAAGGCGCGGGCUCAACCCGCGGACGGCACAUGAUACUGCGAGACUAGAGUAAUGGAGGGGGAACCGGAAUUCUCGGUGUAGCAGUGAAAUGCGUAGAUAUCGAGAGGAACACUCGUGGCGAAGGCGGGUUCCUGGACAUUAACUGACGCUGAGGCACGAAGGCCAGGGGAGCGAAAGGGAUUAGAUACCCCUGUAGUCCUGGCAGUAAACGGUGCACGCUUGGUGUGCGGGGAAUCGACCCCCUGCGUGCCGGAGCUAACGCGUUAAGCGUGCCGCCUGGGGAGUACGGUCGCAAGAUUAAAACUCAAAGAAAUUGACGGGGACCCGCACAAGCGGUGGAGUAUGUGGCUUAAUUCGAUGCAACGCGAAGAACCUUACCUGGGCUUGACAUGUAAUGAACAACAUGUGAAAGCAUGCGACUCUUCGGAGGCGUUACACAGGUGCUGCAUGGCCGUCGUCAGCUCGUGUCGUGAAAUGUUUGGUUAAGUCCAGCAACGAGCGCAACCCCUGUUGCCAGUUACCAGCACGUGAAGGUGGGGACUCUGGCGAGACUGCCCAGAUCAACUGGGAGGAAGGUGGGGACGACGUCAGGUCAGUAUGGCCCUUAUGCCCAGGGCUGCACACGUACUACAAUGCCCAGUACAGAGGGGGCCGAAGCCGCGAGGCGGAGGAAAUCCUGAAAACUGGGCCCAGUUCGGACUGUAGGCUGCAACCCGCCUACACGAAGCCGGAAUCGCUAGUAAUGGCGCAUCAGCUACGGCGCCGUGAAUACGUUCCCGGGUCUUGCACUCAACGCCCGUCA